AACGGAACUCCAUUAGAGAACAAAUGAGUAACCUGUGGAACUCAUUGUCACAAGAUAUCAUGAGGUCAACAGUCUGGAGAGUGCUGCAAGCUGCACCUUUCUUCCUUCUAGUCAGAGUCAACGGAAAAGAAGGAGCAAGAAGAGGGGUCAA